rnacentral:misc_RNA from 1 species
GAUGAAGAACGCAGCGAAAUGCGAUAAGUAAUGUGAAUUGCAGAAUUCAGUGAAUCAUCGAAUCUUUGAACGCACCUUGCGCUCCUUGGUAUUCCGAGGAGCAUGCCUGUUUGAGUGUCAUUAAAUUCUCAACCAUUAUCAACUUUUGCUGAUAAUGGCUUGGAUGUGGGGGUCUAUUUUGCUGGCUUCUCAGAUAGUCAGCUUCCCUUAAAUGCAUUAGCCGGUGCCCCGCGUGGACUGUCUAUUGGUGUGAUAAUUAUCUACGCUAUAGACAUCUGCAAUCAUAUGGGUUUGCGCUGCUUCUAACAGUCUGUUGAUUCAGACAAUACAUGACAAUUUGACCUCAAAUCAGGUAGGACUACCCGCUGAACUUAAGCAUAUCAAUAAGCGGAGGA